rnacentral:sRNA from 1 species
GGCGGGGCAGGACGCUGGCUGCGGCCGUGGCGGCGACGACUACUCAGAGGACGAGGGCGACAGCAGCGUGUUCAGGGCGGCUGUGGAGGUGUUCGGGAAGCUGAAGGACCUAAACUGCCCCUUCCUCGAGGGUCUGUAUAUCACAGAGCCAAAGACAAUUCAGGAACUGCUGUGCAGCCCCUCAAAGUACCGCUUGGAGAUCCUAGAGUGGAUGUGUACCCGGGUCUGGCCCUCACUGCAGGACAGGUUCAGCUCACUGAAAGGGGUCCCAACAGAGGUGAAGAUCCAAGAAAUGACGAAGCUGGGCCAUGAGCUGAUGCUGUGUGCGCCAGAUGACCAGGAGCUCCUCAAGGGCUGUGCCUGCGCCCAGAAGCAGCUACACUUCAUGGACCAGUUGCUCGAUGCCAUCCGGAGCCUGACUAUUGGGUGCUCCAGUUGCUCGAGGUAAAGCUGUGGAUGGCCCAGGUGGGCAGUAUUGACGGGCUUCUCUUGGUCCUAGUUCUGGAGCUGGUAGGGGCUGGGGUGUCACUCCCCCUCUGAUGCUGGCUGGGGUGUGACACCCCACUUGGGGAUCUGGCUGGCCAGUCAGGGGCCGGGCAGCAUACGGGCGAGGGGCGGCUGUGUCCCAAGGGUGCUGGCUGUUGCCCAAGGCCCCGGGGGUGAGUAUGAAGGUGGGAUGUGGGCCUCAGAGCAGACGGGCCAGGCACAGAGGAGGGUGAGCACCUAGGGUGCUCCAUGGGUGGGUAGGUAGGCGGGCAAAAAUGGAGGAGCCAGGGCAGACAGGUGGGGCAGGAUUCUGCGCGGUGGGGCUUGUCCUGGCCUCUGUGCCUGGCCCCGAUGUGCUUCUGGGG